CAGUAGCCGCGGUAAUACAGAGGGUGCGAGCGUUAAUCGGAAUUACUGGGCGUAAAGCGUGCGCAGGCGGUUAUAUAAGACAGAUGUGAAAUCCCCGGGCUCAACCUGGGAACUGCAUUUGUGACUGUAUAGCUAGAGUACGGCAGAGGGGGAUGGAAUUCCGCGUGUAGCAGUGAAAUGCGUAGAUAUGCGGAGGAACACCGAUGGCGAAGGCAAUCCCCUGGGCCUGUACUGACGCUCAUGCACGAAAGCGUGGGGAGCAAACAGGAUUAGAUACCCGCGUAGUCCCUGUCUCUUAUAC
rnacentral:rRNA from 1 species